GCCUACCGCCAUACUACUCUGAAUGCACCCGAUCCCAUCUGAUCUCUGGAGGUUAAGCAGGGUCAGGCCCGGACAGUACCUGGAUGGGUGACCACCUGGGAACACCGAGUGCGGUAGGCU